rnacentral:rRNA from 1 species
CCGAUAGCGUAUAUUAAAGUUGUUGCAGUUAAAAAGCUCGUAGUUGAAUUUCGGGGUUAGUAGGUUGGUCAUGCCUCUGGUAUGUACUGGUCUCACUGAUUCCUCCUUCCUGAUGAGCCGUAAUGCCAUUAAUUUGGUGUUGCGGGGAAUUUGGACUGUUACUUUGAAAAAAUUAGAGUGUUUAAAGCAAGCUAACGCUUGAAUACAUUAGCAUGGAAUAAUGAAAUAGGACGUUCGAUCCUAUUUUGUUGGUUUCUAGGAUUGACGUAAUGAUUAAUAGGGAUAGUUGGGGGCAUUAGUAUUCAAUUGUCAGAGGUGAAAUUCUUGGAUUUAUUGAAGACUAACUACUGCGAAAGCAUUUGCCAAGGAUGUUUUCAUUAAUCAAGAACGAAAGUUAGGGGAUCGAAGACGAUCAGAUACCGUCGUAGUCUUAACCAUAAACUAUGCCGACUAGGGAUCGGAUGAUGUUAAUUUUUUAACGACUCAUUCGGCGCCUUACG